AGAGUUUGAUCCUGGCUCAGAUUGAACGCUGGCGGCAGGCCUAACACAUGCAAGUCGAACGGUAGCACAGAGAGCUUGCUCUCGGGUGACGAGUGGCGGACGGGUGAGUAAUGUCUGGGAAACUGCCUGAUGGAGGGGGAUGACUACUGGAAACGGUAGCUAAUACCGCAUAACGUCGCAAGACCAAAGAGGGGGACCUUCGGGCCUCUUGCCAUCAGAUGUGCCCAGAUGGGAUUAGCUAGUAGGUGGGGUAACGGCUCACCUAGGCGACGAUCCCUAGCUGGUCUGAGAGGAUGACCAGCCACACUGGAACUGAGACACGGUCCAGACUCCUACGGGAGGCAGCAGUGGGGAAUAUUGCACAAUGGGCGCAAGCCUGAUGCAGCCAUGCCGCGUGUAUGAAGAAGGCCUUCGGGUUGUAAAGUACUUUCAGCGGGGAGGAAGGUGUUGUGGUUAAUAACCGCAGCAAUUGACGUUACCCGCAGAAGAAGCACCGGCUAACUCCGUGCCAGCAGCCGCGGUAAUACGGAGGGUGCAAGCGUUAAUCGGAAUUACUGGGCGUAAAGCGCACGCAGGCGGUCUGUCAAGUCGGAUGUGAAAUCCCCGGGCUCAACCUGGGAACUGCAUUCGAAACUGGCAGGCUAGAGUCUUGUAGAGGGGGGUAGAAUUCCAGGUGUAGCGGUGAAAUGCGUAGAGAUCUGGAGGAAUACCGGUGGCGAAGGCGGCCCCCUGGACAAAGACUGACGCUCAGGUGCGAAAGCGUGGGGAGCAAACAGGAUUAGAUACCCUGGUAGUCCACGCCGUAAACGAUGUCGACUUGGAGGUUGUGCCCUUGAGGCGUGGCUUCCGGAGCUAACGCGUUAAGUCGACCGCCUGGGGAGUACGGCCGCAAGGUUAAAACUCAAAUGAAUUGACGGGGGCCCGCACAAGCGGUGGAGCAUGUGGUUUAAUUCGAUGCAACGCGAAGAACCUUACCUACUCUUGACAUCCAGAGAACUUUCCAGAGAUGGAUUGGUGCCUUCGGGAACUCUGAGACAGGUGCUGCAUGGCUGUCGUCAGCUCGUGUUGUGAAAUGUUGGGUUAAGUCCCGCAACGAGCGCAACCCUUAUCCUUUGUUGCCAGCGGUCCGGCCGGGAACUCAAAGGAGACUGCCAGUGAUAAACUGGAGGAAGGUGGGGAUGACGUCAAGUCAUCAUGGCCCUUACGAGUAGGGCUACACACGUGCUACAAUGGCGCAUACAAAGAGAAGCGAACUCGCGAGAGCAAGCGGACCUCAUAAAGUGCGUCGUAGUCCGGAUUGGAGUCUGCAACUCGACUCCAUGAAGUCGGAAUCGCUAGUAAUCGUAGAUCAGAAUGCUACGGUGAAUACGUUCCCGGGCCUUGUACACACCGCCCGUCACACCAUGGGAGUGGGUUGCAAAAGAAGUAGGUAGCUUAACCUUCGGGAGGGCGCUUACCACUUUGUGAUUCAUGACUGGGGUGAAGUCGUAACAAGGUAACCUCAGUCAGUCAA
rnacentral:rRNA from 1 species